rnacentral:rRNA from 1 species
UGGGGAAUUUUGGACAAUGGGGGAAACCCUGAUCCAGCCAUCCCGCGUGUGCGAUGAAGGCCUUCGGGUUGUAAAGCACUUUUGGCAGGAAAGAAACGUCAUGGGUUAAUACCCCGUGAAACUGACGGUACCUGCAGAAUAAGCACCGGCUAACUACGUGCCAGCAGCCGCGGUAAUACGUAGGGUGCAAGCGUUAAUCGGAAUUACUGGGCGUAAAGCGUGCGCAGGCGGUUCGGAAAGAAAGAUGUGAAAUCCCAGAGCUCAACUUUGGAACUGCAUUUUUAACUACCGGGCUAGAGUGUGUCAGAGGGGGGUUGAAUUCCGCGUGUAGCAGUGAAAUGCGUAGAUAUGCGGAGGAACACCGAUGGCGAAGGCAGCCUCCUGGGAUAACACUGACGCUCAUGCACGAAAGCGUGGGGAGCAAACAGG